UACGUAGGGUGCGAGCGUUAAUCGGAAUUACUGGGCGUAAAGCGUGCGCAGGCGGUUCGUUGUGUCGGUGGUGAAAGCCCCGGGCUUAACCUGGGAAUGGCCAUGGAAACUGGCGAACUGGAGUGUGGCAGAGGGGGGUGGAAUUCCACGUGUAGCAGUGAAAUGCGUAGAGAUGUGGAGGAACACCGAUGGCGAAGGCAGCCCCCUGGGCUGAGAUUGACGCUCAGGCACGAAAGCGUGGGGAGCAAAAGGG
rnacentral:rRNA from 1 species